rnacentral:lncRNA from 1 species
CAAUCAUCUGCCUCCUUCUGUGCCUGCCUGGCUGCCCCUACCCUGGGGCUCCCUCCUAGCCCCCACCUCACCUACUGGCUCACUGAGACAGAGCCAAACAUGAAAGGGAAGGUGACGGCCUGGCCAUAGGGCCCAGGAAAAUGCAGGUAUCAUUAACAGCCUGGAGCACUGUGGCCUGUCCACUCUCAACCCUCUGCUGCCCACCCCUUCCUGGAAUAGACCCCAGGCCACAUACAGAGGGGGCAAGCCCAAGAUGCUGACGAUACGACAGUGAAUACAACAUGAAAAAACAAGCACACUUCUCACCCCUAUGGAGCUUUAUUCUGGUCAGGCAGAAGGAGAAGGAAAUGUAAACAUGCAAGGUCAGGUACUGCUGUGAAGCAAAAUAAAGCUGUGGGUACUGUGCGAAGGAUA